GCUCAGGAUGAACGCUAGCUACAGGCUUAACACAUGCAAGUCGAGGGGUAGCAGGGUAGCAAUACCGCUGACGACCGGCGCACGGGUGAGUAACACGUAUCCAACCUUCCCAUAACUCGGGGAUAGCCUUUCGAAAGAAAGAUUAAUACCCGAUAGUACUUUAUUAAGGCAUCUUAAGAAAGUUAAAGACUUAUUGGUUAUGGAUGGGGAUGCGUUCCAUUAGAUAGUUGGUGAGGUAACGGCUCACCAAGUCUUCGAUGGAUAGGGGUUCUGAGAGGAAGGUCCCCCACAUUGGUACUGAGACACGGACCAAACUCCUACGGGAGGCAGCAGUG
rnacentral:rRNA from 1 species